rnacentral:rRNA from 1 species
CAGUCGCCGCGGGAAUACGUAGGGUGCAAGCGUUAAUCGGAAUUACUGGGCGUAAAGCGUGCGCAGGCGGUUAUAUAAGACAGAUGUGAAAUCCCCGGGCUCAACCUGGGAACUGCAUUUGUGACUGUAUAGCUAGAGUACGGCAGAGGGGGAUGGAAUUCCGCGUGUAGCAGUGAAAUGCGUAGAUAUGCGGAGGAACACCGAUGGCGAAGGCAAUCCCCUGGGCCUGUACUGACGCUCAUGCACGAAAGCGUGGGGAGCAAACAGGAUUAGAUACCCCAGUAGUCCCUGUCUCUUAUAA